UUACGGCUAUAUCACGCUGAAAGAUCGGUUCUCGUUUGAUCACAGAAGUUAAGCAACGUCGAGACUGGUCAGUACCUAGACUGGUAACCCCUGGGCAAUACCAGGUGCUAUA